CGCGUAGGCGGCUUUUCAAGCGUGCGGUGAAAGCUCGGGGCUUAACUCCGAGUCUGCCGUGCGAACUGGGAGGCUUGAGUCUGGUAGAGGUCGAUGGAAUUCCGGGUGUAGCGGUGGAAUGCGUAGAGAUCCGGAAGAACACCGGUGGCGAAGGCGGUCGACUGGGCCAGUACUGACGCUGAGGCGCGACAGCGUGGGAAGCAAACA
rnacentral:rRNA from 1 species